CCUUACUCUUCCUGCCACGUUCUGUAGUCUCAGAGACCCUGAAUAACUUCACCUAGCUGUGGCACCAGCACAACAAGCCGCAUGUUGCACGAUAAUGAGGAAAAGUGAUUUCUGCUCUGGUAAAUGAUGUGGUCUCUGUAUUGUCCACACAAAGCAAACAAGAGCGUGGCCUUUUUAGGUCUCCCAUGAAAAUGGACACAAAGAAACACACUGUUGUUUUCAAUUUUAAAUUUAUUAAAGAGUAAAAGAUGUUCUGUGAGAAGUACUGACAAAUAUCUGUUUCAAAACCAAUGGGAAGCAUGUCUUUACGGCAUUUUAAAAUCGUCUUCCAACCCUAGAAAAGCUGAAACAGGUUCAGGAAUAUGGGAAGAAGAAUCUGGUACUUCUACCAUAUGGCAGAUUUUGGUUUUGCUUGAGGAAUUUUAAAAAGAAACAUUUUACUCAGCUGAUGAGUGGCCUGUUCAAACUUAGUUUUUCAUUAGUGCGUU
rnacentral:lncRNA from 1 species